GACGAACGCUGGCGGCGUGCUUAACACAUGCAAGUCGAACGGAAAGGCCCUGCUCUUGCGGGGUGCUCGAGUGGCGAACGGGUGAGUAACACGUGAGUAACCUGCCCUUGACUUUGGGAUAACUCUAGGAAACUGGGGCUAUUACCGGAUAGGAGCUCCUGCUGCACGGUGGGGGUUGGAAAGUUUCGGCGGUUGGGGAUGGACUCGCGGCUUAUCGGCUUGUUGGGCGGGUAGUGGCGUACCAAGGCUUCGACGGGUAGCCGGCCUGGGAGGGUUGCCGGCCACAAGAGGACUGAGAUACGCAGCAGAAUCCUACGGGAGGCAGCGGUGGGAAGCAUUGCGGAGUAGGCGGGAGCGUGAGGCAGCGACGCCGCGAGCGGGAUGACGGCCUUCGAGUUAAAAACCGCUUUCGACUGAAACGAAGCGUGAGUGACGGUAAUGGGUAAAAAAGCACCGGCUAACUACGUG
rnacentral:rRNA from 1 species